ACAGAGGGUGCGAGCGUUGUCCGGAAUCACUGGGCGUAAAGGGCGCGUAGGUGGCUUGGUAAGCGUGCGGUGAAAGCUCGGGGCUCAACCCCGAGUCUGCCGUGCGAACUGCCGAGCUUGAGCAUAGUAGAGGCAGGUGGAAUUCCGGGUGUAGCGGUGGAAUGCGUAGAUAUCCGGAAGAACACCGGUGGCGAAGGCGGCCUGCUGGGCUAUUGCUGACACUGAGGCGCGACAGCGUGGGGAGCAAACAGGAUUAGAUACCCUGGUAGUCCACGCCGUAAACGAUGGGCACUAGGUGCUUGGGGGAGCGACCCCCUGAGUGCCGUCGCUAACGCAUGAAGUGCCCCGCCUGGGGAGUACGGCCGCAAGGCUG
rnacentral:rRNA from 1 species